CCGGCACAGGGCUCACUCCUCAACCUUGGAGCUGUUGCCAACCUCAGUAGAGUGAGUUGUCUACACACUAAGUGGUGUGGGGAAGAGGAGGCAUUCCUGGAAUAGGACUGCGUGGGAUAAACCUGAAAGGAAAAUGUCCAAUGCCGUGGGUGCUGGAGCAUGGGAAGGCUAGCCCGCUGCCAGCCACAUGGAGUGGGAGGAUCACGGAGCCUGAAGCUGAGAGGCCACAGCACUGCACCUGACAUAUAUUACCAACUUGCCAUGCAACUUCAUCUCAUUGACUCCGCAUUCCCAUUUUUUGGAGUGGAUCACCUGCAGUUCCCUUGACAACUGAGUGUCUGUAUUUUUCUGUAUCGUCCAGUGUGAUGACAACUGUCUACACAACCAAGUCUGGCCAGCACUGAACACACUCAGCUUCCCCACAGUGCUCCAAGUCUCAAAGCCCAAACUGCAGCCAAAUCUUGGCAGUGUUGUCCUCUGGUCAGGCCAGAGCACCUUUCUGAAGGACCUUUCUGAACAUUUUUAGACCAUUCGAUGAAUGACCCUAAAUUCUUGGCGCAUAAUUGGGACUGCUGCCAUCACGCCAGAAACAUUUAUUAAGCACUUACUGUGUACAGUGCUCAAGACCUGCCAUCUUGUUUCCAUCUUGACAACAAUGAUGCACAGUAGGGGUUGUCAUUCCCCGUUUCAGAGAAGAGUAAAGCUCAGCAGUGGCCCAGUAACUUGCCCAAGGCCACACAGCUACUGGGUGGCAGAACUGAAUUAAACCCUCCACUUUUUGACUCUAACACCUUUGCCUCCCUCCUUAGGGCGCAGGCACACCCAGCCAGGCUGAGAGGCACUCAGGCACUCUCGAACUUCAUGUUUGUCAUGCAUACAUAUGACUUCCUUCGACUUCUCUGCAAAUUUCCACCAUAUGCAUUUCCAUAGCAACAUUGCAACACAAACACGGUGUAAUCUUUGUCCACUGCAGUACAUAGCUUGAAAGGUUUUUUUGUUUUGUUUUGUUGUUUUGUUUUAAAUAAAAAGGAGCUGCAUAUGUUUACAGCUGACCUAGAUCCCAUGGCAACAAAUAACAGAUAUAAAC
rnacentral:lncRNA from 10 species